UGAUACGCUUGUCUCAAAGAUUAAGCCAUGCAUGUCUAAGUACAUACUUUAAAAUAGUGAAACCGCGAAUGGCUCAUUAAAUCAGUUAUGGUUCAUUAGAGGUAAUAAUUGAAAAGGAUAACUCUGGCAAACUGGAGCUAAUACAUGCAUUAAGCCUUGCCCUUUUGGGCUUGGUGUAUUUGUUUUGUGAAAACCAAUAUUGGUUGAUGACUCUAGAUAACUUUGCUAACCACUUAGGACUUUGUUCCAGUGGUGUUUCUUCUAAAUGUCUGCACUAUCAACUUCUGAUGGUAGGUGAUAUGCCUACCAUGGUUAUUACGGGUAACGGAGGAUCAGGGUUUGACUCCGGAGAGGGAGCCUGAGAAAUGGCUGCCACAUCUAAGGAAGGCAGCAGGCGCGCAAAUUACCCACUCCCGGCACGGGGAGGUAGUGACGAUAAAUUACGAUGCUGGGUCUUAAUGGCCUAGUAAUUGUCUUGAGUGUUUUCCAAAAAGCUGCUCAAGGAUCUAUAGGAGGGCAAGUCUGGUGCCAGCAGCCGCGGUAAUUCCAGCUCCAAUAGCGUAUAUUAAAGUUGUUGCGGCUAAAAAGCUCGUAGUUGGAUCUCAGGCUUGACAUGCAGCCUAUAACUGUAGGUACUGUGUGGAGAGCCUUAAUUUCUGUUUGCAUGUUGUGCUCUUGAGUGAGUGUUUCAUGUGACAGGGAGUUUUACUUUGAAGAAAUGAGUGUGCUCAAAGCAGGCGAUUGCCUGAAUCUUAGUGCAUGGAAUAAUGGAAUAGGACCUCGGUUUUAUUUUGUUGGUUUUGAGAACCAGGUAAUGGUUAAUAGAGACAGACGGGGGCAUUUGUACUGCAGUGUUAGAGGUGAAAUUCUUGGAUCACUGCAAGACAAACUACAGCGAAAGCAUUUGCCAAGAAUGUCUUCAUUAAUCAAGAACGAAAGUCGGAGGUUCGAAGGGGAUCAGAUACCCCCCUAGUUCUGACCAUAAACGAUGCCAACUAGCAACCAGUCAGUGUUAUUUUCCUGACAUGACUGAGGGCUCUCGGGAAGCCAAAGUUUUUGGGUUCCGGGGGAAGUAUGGUUGCAAAGCUGAAACUUAAAGGAAUUGACGGAAGGGCACCACCAGGAGUGGAGCCUGCGGCUUAAUUUGACUCAACACGGGAAAUCUCACCCGGCCCGGACACUGUAAGGAUUGACAGACUGAGAGCUCUUUCUUGAUUCAGUGGAUGGUGGUGCAUGGCCGUUCUUAGUUGGUGGAGUGAUUUGUCUGGUUAAUUCCGAUAACGAACGAGACUCUAGUCUGCUAAAUAGUGCUAGCUUGCUAUUUGCAAGUCUAGUUGCUUCUUAGAGGAACUGGCGGUAUUGAAACCGCACGAAGCUGAGCAAUAACAGGUCUGUGAUGCCCUUAGAUGUUCGGGGCUGCACGCGCGCUACAAUGGAAGCUACAACAUGUUUCCUUGCCUGAAAAGGUUGGGCAACCAUGUCAAUAGCUUUCUUGACUGGGAUAGAGAAUUGCAAUUAUUUUUCUUGAACGAGGAAUUCCCAGUAAGCGCAAGUCAUAAGCUUGUGUUGAUUACGUCCCUGCCCUUUGUACACACCGCCCGUCGCUAGUAGCGAUUGAUGGCUUAGUGAGGAUUUCGGACUGACAUGGCAGCCUUGGUUGCUAAUGUUGGAAAGAUAUUCAAGCUAUGCUAUUGAGAGCAACUAAAAGUCGUAACAAGGUAUCC
rnacentral:rRNA from 1 species